rnacentral:lncRNA from 1 species
GGGGGAGCAAUAUAGCCAGGUUGGUAAGGCUGCAUAACAAUAAUCAAUAUUAAGCAAAAUAUAUAAAAUAAUAACACCACGUUUAUCCCUAAACUGGCAAUCUGGCAUGCUUUUUUUAAGACUAAUUAAUAUACCAUUCGUUAAUAUUUUUUUCUAAAAAAGAAAUUGUCGGUUUCAUUGUCCCUUGUAUAUUUAAACCGUCAUCGUAAAUUCAAGACCGACGAAAAACUUAAAAAAGUUCGAAAAUGUGAUAAUUGAAGCUUACUUGGUGGCAUAUUUCACAAGUGAUGUCACCCUUUUCGUUGCACCAAUGUUGGACACAUUUCCUGUGAGCAUACUGCAUAAACGUAAAACUUUAUAAAUAUCGUAAAAUCAUGUAGAAAACUAAGAACCACGAAUAAAAGCUUGCAUAUUACCAAUAAACUUAAAGAUUACCUUAAGACUGCCGUUGCAAGCACACGGAGUCUCUAAAGUAUCAACUGAAUCUUCCUCUUGACAAAUACGACAUUCUGCCGUUGCUAAUAAAGGUGCUUGUUCCUCAUCAUCUGUGGGCCCAUUUUCAUCAACUGCACGAGCUAAUGAGGGGCCCGCCAUCUCCUCUGUCGUUUUUAUGGUUUCCCCGCCCACAGGCUUCACCAAGCGAUUCAAAUCAAGAAUCAAGUGAUCACCCAUUUAUACUAUAAUCCAAAGCCUGUAUACAACAAAAGAAUAAAGAAACAAACGUAAAACUAAAAUUCUCACAUUCAUAUUCUCAUAAACUCAAGCAUAUUAUCAUAAGGAAAAAAAACAUGAACGAUGACAUAUAUAUAAUAAGUUUAAGUUUAUCUUUUCGGUUAACUUCUUGUUAAGAUUAAUAUUUUCAAGAUGACUAUUCAACAAUCCAAAAUCCAGCCCGUCCGCCAACUCACGAAUUCUUCAAUGCGGGCCGGUUAGAAAACAUAAAGUCAAGUUUAGUCAACCCAAUAUUUCUAUUAAAGGUCACCGGUUAGAAAACAUAAAGUCAAGUUUAGUCAACCCAAUAUUUCUAUUAGAGGUCAACAUCAUUAUAGAUUGACCUUCUUACUUAUAAUAAAUCCCUGAAAAACCAUGGAAAUCAGAAAAAAAAAAAAAAGAAAAGAAA